UAUGUCUUUCCCUCUGGUAUCUGGGAGAAGAGAGGUGACCAAGACAACAGCCUGAUGUACCCAGAGCAUAACCAAGAACCACAAAUAAGGCAGAAAAGGGCUUCAAACUAAAAUCACUGGCACGAAAUUCUUGUCCUAAAGCCUUGCUGUAUCUUGCUUCUGCCUUUCUUUCCUGAUUGGAAAGGAUGAUUAAUUUUUUGUCUUCCUGUAUAUUCCAAAGUCCUCCAGCCCACCUCUGGGACAACAGCAACUUGUAGUCUUUGUAGGCCUGAAAGUCCUUGGAACUGAAGUGAAAGCUGUUCUAAAACCUGCUGAAGCGCCUGGAGGCUACAGGCCCAUUGAAAAUACUGUCAAGGACGUGUAAUAAAACCGAACAAGAC